GAUGAAGAACGUAGCGAAAUGCGAUAAGUAAUGUGAAUUGCAGAAUUCAGUGAAUCAUCGAAUCUUUGAACGCACAUUGCGCCCCUUGGUAUUCCGAGGGGCAUGCCUGUUCGAGCGUCAUAUUAACCACUCCCGCUUGCGGGGUCUUGGGCUUCGCCUCCGGGCGGGCCUUAAAAUCAGUGGCGGUGCCGUCGGGCUCUACGCGUAGUAAAUUUUCUCGCGAUAGGGUCCCGGUGGAUGCUUGCCAACAACCCCCAACCUCUUAAGGUUGACCUCGGAUCAGGUAGGGAUACCCGCUGAACUUAAGCAUAUCAAUAAGCGGAGGA
rnacentral:misc_RNA from 1 species